CGACGUGGAGAACCUGCCGUAUACUGGGGGAUAACACUUAGAAAUAGGUGCUAAUACCGCAUAAGCGCACAGCUUCGCAUGAAGCAGUGUGGAAAACAAAAAGCUAAAGCUUUUGGUGGUAUACGAUGGAUCCGCGUCUGAUUAGCUUGUUGGCGGGGUAAAGGCCCACCAAGGCGACGAUCAGUAGCCGGCCUGAGAGGGUGAACGGCCACAUUGGGACUGAGACACGGCCCAAACUCCUACGGAAGGCAGCAG
rnacentral:rRNA from 1 species